rnacentral:rRNA from 1 species
GACGGAGGGCGCAAGCGUUGUUCGGAAUUACUGGGCGUAAAGCGCGGGCAGGCGGCCCGCUAAGUCUGCGGUGAAAUCCCGGGGCUCAACCCCGGAUAUGCCGCGGAUACUGACGGGCUAGAGACCGGUAGAGGCGAGUGGAAUUCCUGGUGUAGCGGUGGAAUGCGUAGAUAUCAGGAAGAACACCGGUGGCGAAGGCGGCUCGCUGGGCCGGUUCUGACGCUCAGCCGCGAAAGCGUGGGGAGCAAACAGGAUUAGAUACCCUGGUAGUCCACGCCGUAAACGAUGGGCACUAGAUGCCGGGUCUAUAGACGGAUUCGGUGUCGCAGCUAACGCAUUAAGUGCCCCGCCUGGGGAGUACGGCCGCAAGGCUGAA